ensembl:snRNA U2 U2 spliceosomal RNA
GACGCUUCUUGGCCUUUUGGCUAAGAUCAAGUGUAGUGUCUGUUCUUAGCAGUUUAAUAUCUGAUAUGCCCUCCAUCCUCUUUCCCUCUUAGUGUGUACAUCUCAAAGCCCAGACAGUGAUGGUCUUGAGCUUCUGUCUAUAGAUAAGUUGCAUUCUGCCCUCAGUAUCCUUUGUGCUUUUCCAGCAUCACCAUUCUUAUCUAGUCUAU